UAGAGGUGAUGGGGAGCAAACCACACUGCCAUGUAUGUACCUAUGCAACAAUCUUGCAUGUUCUUCACAUGGACCCCAAAACCUAAAAUGCAACAAAAUAUUUAAAAAUGUAUAUCUAUAUAUAUUGGGAUUUGUUAACAUUUUAUUUUUUCUAAUUAUUUAUUCAGACUCAGAAAACAUUUUCAAUAAUUUUUCCCCAAAUUGCUCUCACUUAUUAAUUUUUGAUCUGCUAAUUUGUCACUAAUGUAUGUUUAUUAAUACUGUUUAUUUGGUAUAACUUACAAAUAAAUAAUGAAUUCUCCUGGAAAUAAUGCUCUUAAUAAAAGUUAUUAAUAAUGUUUAUAAGCCCAAUGCCAUGUGGUGACCUAAUGCCUUUUCUUCUUUUAAAUUUCCACUUAACCCUGCCUCCUUCUUACAAUAAAAAAUAUUCAUUCAUGGAUUAGUGAAUAACUGGUGAUAUGAAAUCCCAAACAUCUAUCAAGAGAUAUAUUUUCAAUAAUGUUUUUCUUUUUUAUUUGAUAUCUAUUUAUAAAACGUUUCAGUUUUGUGAUAAAUUUUAUAAAAGUAUUAUAAAGUAGUAAUAGUUAUAAUGAAAAGUCUAUCUUUGACUACAAUUUUAAAUUACAAUGAAACAUUUUAUAUGUCACAUGCAAACACAGAAGUGGAUUCAUAGUUUUUCAAAAACUCUUUUAGAAGGUAUGCCAGCAAAAUAUUAUAAAGUUUACAGUGGUAGCCAUGUGUGUAAUGAUUCAGAGUAAUUAAAUCCAUAAGUAGCAAAAUGUAUAAUAUGUAGCUCUGGUAUACCAAGAUAAUUUUGCUAGUCCUAUUGCUAGUAAGAUAUAUGCUUUAAGUUGGUAUUGUUUUUCUAGAAAUAGGGAUGGAUUUGAAUAGAGUGAUUUGUGUUUUCAAUCCUCCAGUGAUCAGUGACCUCCAUGUGUUUACAUAUUUGACAAAUGCCCAGGUUGGUCAAUUGUUAGCAAUAAGGAAAAUCUUACAUGAUUAUGUAAGUAUGUUUCCCUAGAUCUUGGCCUCCUAUUGCACAGAGAGGCUUAUUUCUAAGAGAAAUGUACCCACUGGGUCUUUCUUGGACAAUUCAUCAUAUAUUAUUAUGCAAAGUAAAAGCUGGCAAUAAAAAGCUUGUUUUUUUAAUUUUUUUAAAAAAGGAAAGAAAAACAGAGAAUUGGAUUAGUUUCAAUUUGUUUCAUUUAACUUGUAUUCUGUUAUUUCCAAGUUUCUGUUUGGAAAAUAUGAAAUGCCAGCAUUUUAUAUAAUGAUGUCACCACUAUAAAAUCAUUUUUAAAAUGUUUCCUUUGAGCUGUAGUCAGUUCUGCAAUAAGCUGAAUUGAGGCACUUGAAUCAGAUCCAAACAAAAAGAGCGUAAAUUGCCCACCAUUUUAAAUAAAAACUGAGUGUUUAUUUUGUUUUGUUUUUUAGUACCACAUUUGAUACUAGAAGCAGUUUGUUUAAACAUGAUCGUUUUUAUUUGAAAAGUGCAUUUCCCCUAAGAUAAGGCUUCACAUCAAAAGGAACAUUACAAACUUUCAUAAACAAUAAAGUCAAUCAGUUAAUUAUUCUUGGACCAGUAUAUUGACUUCUGGUGAGUUUCUACUAAUAUGCUUUUAAAAAGAACUGGAUGGUCUUACUUGCCAAAAUACCAAUAAAGGAAAACUCUACCAAAACCCAACGAAAAAAGCUAAUAGAAAAAAAAAAUGCCAUUUUUCAUUGUAUAGUAUGCAUCAUUUGGUAAGAUUAAAGAGCACUGAAAGAAAUAUUUUAUGUCAACUAAGCACAUGUUAAUGCAGUGAAUUCAAACUAAUCUAGGCAGUUAAUUCACAUAAUUGUGAGGAGGAGGAAGAAGUAAAAAGGGAGAGAGAAUAAAACCUAAGAGAAGGGUAAAUUGUUUUGCGAGUGAGGAAUAGAGCCAGAGGGAAUACAGACAUUCCCAAGAAUCUAUUUCUUUCCUGCCUGAAACUUCUAUGUUGAGAAUGAAGAGCUUCUCACACUGUGCUUAUAUCUGAAACCCAGAGAAAUACUGGAACCCGAGGAUCAGGAGAGAAUAAACAGAGAUUGAAAUCUAGGGGUCAUUUGAACUAGAGAGAUACAAUCCUCAGGUACAGAAACCAAUUUCAGGCUGUGACUACAAGUCACUGUCAUAGUAGUCAGAAAGACCUGGAAAGCAAGUGACUCAUGCAAUCAUUUUCUCAGUGAAAACCUGGGUACAUGCACAUGUCAGUUAUUGCUUGAAGUUCUAGAUAUAAAGUGAAGACAAAUAGUCUUUGCCUUCUAAGAGUGUAUAAUAUAGUGCCAGAGACAGCCAAGAAAACAGUUACUCACAACACGGGGACCUAAAGGGGAUGUCUAGAGUGGGCGGGGAUUACAGAAGAGGGUAUCUUUCCAGCUUUCAGAAAACCACGAGGGCUGACCGAAGAAGAUGGGAUAUCCUGACUGAACUCUGAAAGCUGAGUAGAAUUUAAUUAUUGAAGGUGUGCAGGAGAGGGAGGAGCAGGGAACUGGGAUCACAAGAAGGAUAAGCAACCUAUGCAAAAGGCCUAGGGGGAAGAGAGCUUACUGCAGGUGAACUGACUGAAACGGCAGUUUAUGCUUUAGGACAAUAGAUAGGGUGCCAGUGGGAAGAUUUUGAGUGGAAAAUAAUACACAUCACUUGAAUUUUUGUGUCAAAAUAUCACCUCUGGAUGCAGUGUCCAGAGAAUAGUCCAAAGGAGAAAAAAACUGAAGGCAGAAAGAUUAGGAGGCUGUUGAAUUAAUUCCUUUAUUUCUAUUUUUUAAAAUUUAAGAAACUCAAUGUGGGAUUUCCCAUCACUGCAGUGAGAAGUUUCAAAGAGCCAUAUAUAUAUAACGUUUCUGCCAAUCAGGAACUGCUUUUAAUGAGCUCAGUUUAGAUAUAUAUCUUAUUAGUUUGACUGCCAUAAAAAAUACCACAGACUGGGUGGCUUCAAGAAUAGAAAUUUAUUGGCCGAAUGUGGUGGUUCAUGCCUGUAAUCCCAGCACUUUUGGAGGCCAAGGUGAGCAGAUCACGAGGUCAGGAGUUCAAGACCAGCCUAACCAACAUGGUGAAACCUCGUCUCUGCUAAAUUACAAAAAUUAGCCAGGCAAGGUGGCAGGUGCCUGUACUCUCAGCCACUCAGGAGGCUGAGGCAGGAGAAUCACUUGAACCCGGGGGCCAGAGGUUGCAGUGAACCAAGAUCAUGCCACCACACUCUACCUUGGGCUACAGAGCGAGACUCCAUCUCCAAAAAAAAAAAAAAAGAAUAAAAACUGUGCAUAAUAGUAAACUCCCCUGCAGUUUUGUAAUGUGUUGAGCCCAAAUAAGGAUAAGUAUAGGGCACUAUGAAAACACAAAAAAAAAGACACCGAAGCCCAAGCUAGAAAUUGAGGAGAGGUUGGUUCAUGGGUUCAAAAAUAUAGUUAGAUAGAAGGAAUAAGGAAGCCCUAAUGUACAGGAGCACACUAGGGUGGUAUGCUUAACAGUAAUUUGUUGUAUACUUCAAAAUAGCUGGAAGAGAAGAUUCGAAAUGCCAUCAACACAAAGACAUGAUAAGGGCUUGAAAUGAUGAAUAUCCCAAUUACCAUGAUUUGCUCAUUACACAUUUUUCACCUCAACUUCACUGAGUCCUCCUUGACCCCACGUCCUUUUCAUAACUUCAUCCAGGACAGUGCUUUAUACAUUGUAUAUGAAAAGCAACUCACCAUCCAUUGGUAAGUCUUUGAACAUCAAACAGGAAAAAGAUGCAUAGAAGCUUUCACCUUUUGUUAAUCUGUUAAUCAUCAUCUAUUUAAUCAGUAAACAUUUUCUGAGCACCUCGCUAUAUAAGGUACUUUCCAGAUACCUGUGUGGGAAGAAAAGAGGAUUUGCACAGACAGAGUUAAGUGUCAUUGCACACAUUUCCAUCAUAGCAGUUAAAGGUGAAUUCUCUUUCCCUCUUCUGCAUUAACAACGUAAGUCUGCAUGGAGCUCACAUUGACUAUUUCCUUAUGCACUAGAUAAGCUUCAGCUUGGUUGAGUAGAUACCACCACCAAAUAAAUUCCCUUGGGGUUUAAAAUGUGUGUCGUGCCAGUGACCUAGCAUAAACACAGGCAAAUAGUAUCUGCAGGCCAAAGGUAAAUCUGUAUAUUUGCUCUCUGAGGUAUACUCUUUGAAAAUUCCAAGAAUGAUCUAUCUUAGGAAUAGAUGUUUCUCUUGAAAGAAAAAUGGUACAUCUCUAGUAAGUAAUCGAGGAUACGUGAGCAUAUUAUAUACACACACAUACAUAUCUACUACUUUUCAUUUCUAAAACAGAAGAAUUCUCAAAGGACCAUUUUCUGAAACACUAAAAUUCUCAAAAAGGUUCCCAGAACAGCACAUUACUAUAACUUGACACCAUGUUUUAGAUAUUACCCAAUAAAUGUUUGCAAGGUAGCAAUAAACCUUUUUUCUAAUAGAGGGCUUCAUGCUGUGCUACCAAAGUGCAGAGGAAAUGACUGAGCAGAAAGCUCAGAUACAGUAUGCAAAGGCAGCAUCAAAGCCCUUCCAAGGCCAGUUCAUUACAGUACCUCUGAGGAGGUUCAGAGCCUGCCCUGAGUCCUUCCUCAUUAUAGGUCACUUGCUUCAAGCCUUUCUAAUAACCCCUAAAUAUGGAAGCACUCAGCAAGGCCACACUUGAGGUAGUCAGAGGUGUUUGGUCCACUGGGUUGAGUAGCUGAAAGUUGGAAUGCCUUGCAAGCCUACUUAUAAUUAAAGUGUCCCUUCUGCCUAUUUUUCUUGACAGUCCUACAGCUGCUGACAUUAGCCAGCUCUGCAUGUCCCCAGCUUCAAGUGCCAACUGCAACCCAAUACGCUUGAGAUUUGAGAAUGUCAUUUUCUUAAAAGGUUAUAGACGCAUUCAGGCAGAAGUCCACCUUUUAAAAGAGGAAAUAAGUUAUUAUUAUGCAAACAAUUUUCUCUGCAUUGGGGCCAAGAGCUUUUCAAGUUAACUGAUUUUAAUUUGCUAAAAACGAAUGUGACAGUCUGCCUCUUAUUCAGGAAAGGGAAGCUUUGAAACUGAGAUUGAAGUUUGAGCUAUCAUGCUUGGCACAAAUGCUUAGAAAAACAUCACACAGGUUUGAAGCGAGUUUACCUCUGUGGUUCAGACAUAAAUCUAUUGAAGUCAAAGACGUUCACUGCUUUCACUAACUUUGGGCAGACUGUGUGUCACUAAUCUGGUUAAUAAGAUUAGGAGUUAAACACACUUGCACGGCUUUAUUUUCUACUAGGCUCUAGUUACAUUUACAAACAUUUACAGCUUCUUUUUACUUAGAGAUCGGGCUCUUCUAAAAUAGAGCUGAAAUGACCAUUCUGAUAUUUUUCUUAGAUUCACAAGAUGUGAAGAAGAAGGAAAUGAAAUAAAAAACAAUUUGUGUUUGUUUGCUUGUGUAUCAUGAAAUCCUAUGGUGAACCCAGAUUUUGUAACCCAAGCUUUUACGGAUUAUGUCUUAUUUGUACGUAGCAAUUGGUACAAUGUCAAGAAAAUAGAAGUUGUGUAUGUCUAUAUCCUUAAUCAAAAAAAAAAAACAAAACCCUGCAUUUACUAUUAUGUGUCAUUCCCUGACUUACAUUUCCUUCCCUUAAGUGACAUUCACCUUACAAGGUGAAUCAGUGGGGAGUGUGUUCAGCUGCAAGUCAUAUAAAAUGAGAAUGAUCUUAAUUCAGAGAGUACCUCAAAUAUAUCUGAAAUCUGGAGGUAGACACCUGUGAGCAUGAAUUCAAGGGCACGAUGGUUGACAUCUCUGCAGCUGUUUUGAUCUUUCCUUAAUGAUGUUGUUUCACAUUGCAAAAUGAUGACUAGGCAGCUGAAAGGGAAAAGGAAGGCAACCAGUAUGUCAGCUCCCGUUCAUCAGCAAAUGAAAACUUUUUCCAGAAAUGCUUAGCAGAUUUCUUCUCUUGUCUUCUCAUCCAGAACUGUGUUAUUCAGCAUCUCUGGCUAGAAGGGAGGCUAUAAAAGCAAGAAAAUGACUAGAUCUUGAUGAUGGUUCAAAGAAAUGGUGAUGUGUUGUUUGAUUUGGACACAUUUUCUCUCUAAACAAAUUUGAAGUUGUUUGCAAGGAAAAAUCGGAUUAGAAAAUGACUAUUAAGUAUCUAAUAUUGUUUAUUAUAGGAAGUUAAAACAAAGUUAGAGACCAUAUAUAAGAGAUGCCCUAACAUUAACUAGAACACUGUGCUUGACAAACAGGAGGUUUGGUAAAUGUAAUGUUAUCAAUGAAUAAUAAACAUGAAACAUAAUGAGCUUGUGAGUAUGUAUGUAUAUUAGUGUAAGUAUUUGCUCUGUGGAUGUGACAUGUAUGUUUUAUUUUUAAUUUGUGAGUAAAUGUUUAUUAAAAAGGAUAAUAGUAUCCAUCUCUACAAAAAGAGAUGAAAAUUCACCUUUGGAGUUGAUUUCAUUAAUUUUAGGAAACAACUGAGUGGAUGACAUACAUAUGUAUCUUAGUCAGUUUCAGGUAUUACAGCAAACUACCAUAGAUUGGGCAGCUUAAACAACGAACAUUUACAUUCAUAAUUCUGGAGGCUGGGAAGCCCAGUUUAAGACCCAAACAGAUUCUGUUUCCGGAGAGGAGCCUCUUCAGGUUGCAGAUGACCAACUUCUUUCUGUGUCCUCACAUGGCAGAAACAAGACAAGAGAGCUCUCUGGGGUCUCUUUUAUAAGGACACUAGCCUCAUUCAUAAAGAUUUCACCUUCAUGAUCUAUUUACCUCCCAAAGGUCCCACCUCCCAAUACCAACACACUGGGGUUUGGAAUUUCAAUAAAUGGAUUGGAGGGGAACACAAACAUUCUCUCUAUAAUAAUAUGUCAUCUAAUAUAAUAAUAUGUCAUCUCUAUAAUAAUAUUACAUCUACUAUUCUGGGAUAGGGGAGCUCCUUAAGCAGAUGGAGUCUUAUCAUCACUCCCAAUAACCACUCUUCGAGGUUUCUGAAGCGGAAGGGGCAAAUUGGCUUUGAAAGAAUGAGGUCUGCAGUCAGGCUCUUCAUGAUGUUGCAUGCAAUGAAAUAUGUUAAGUUGACUACUGUAUCCUAGACCAGUAGCCUAGACGCAACUUCUAGAUCUAGUUUACUUGAGAGAGGAGAAACUUUGGGUUGAUGACAGAACCCCUUUUAAAAUGUGGAUGCUGGCUGUGGGUAGGCCUGGAGGAAGUGGCUUUGCAUGGGAGUUGAAAGCACAGGUCACUAAGAGCUUAUGCUGAAGUGUAUGAGACAUAGUGUUAGAGAAAAAUGGUCCCACCUUGGAGACGGAUCCUGUUUUCACAAGCAAGGAAAAGGUCAUUAAUAUCUCAGGAGAGUGUUUUAUAAAUAUACAAUAAGCAGGCUAAAUAAUCAUCCCUAUAGGAGAUUGGGGGCAGGGGAUGGGGAAACAACUUACCAGGAGGGUGUGUUUAAAGGUUUCAUGGAGAAGACUGAGCUUGAGAUGAACCAUGAAUGAUAGUUGUGACUUUUGGAAGUGAGAAAGGGAAAAUAAUAUUCUAGCUGGAAGGAAAAUGUGUGGACAUUUUCCUUAGGUGGUUAAGAGUCUAGUGUAUGUGAAAAAUAGUGAAGAUGUGAGGAGGAUUCUCUUAGAGAAUAAUGGGAAAUAUUUGGAAAGGUCAGUUUACUCCAGGAAGUGAAUUUUCUACUGAGGAUUUCAGAUUUUUGCCCAUUCAGCAACAGGAAAGCUUUGGAGAGUUUCAAUUUCAAUUUGAAAUGAUAAAACAAUGUUUAAUGUGCUGGUAGAAUGCAGAAUGGAGUGAAUUAAAUAAAUUUAAGCCACAGAUAUGACUUAGAAGUGUACUUCAAUACUUUAAACACAAAAGGUAAAAGCCUGAACUUGGGAGUGGCAAUGAGAAUAAAAAGGAAGGAAACAAUGUGAACAACAUUGCAAAGAAAACUGAAAAAAAAAACACACACACAAUAGUGGCUCACACCUGUAACCUAGCACUUUGGGAGGUGGAGGCGGGCAGAUUGCUUGAGCCCAUGAGUUCAAAACCAAUCUGGACAACAUGGUGAAACCCUGUCUCUAUAUAAAAAUACAAAAAUUAGCUGGGUGUGGGUGGUCCAUACCUAUAUUCCCAGCUUCUCAGGAAGCUGAGGUGGAAGGAUCACUUGAGCUUAGUGGUCAAGGCUGUAGUGAGCUGGAAGCACGCUGCUGCACUCCAGCCUGGGCAACAGAGUAAGACCUUGUCUCUCUCUCUCACACACACAUAUACACACACUCACAAUUAAAUUGAACACACACAAUUAAAUUGAACUAACUAAUUAAAUAAUUUGAAAAGAGAGAAGUAAAAAAGUACUGAGCUUUUGAAACUGGAUGUCCAGAAAAGGAUAAAUUUUUGCUUUAUCAGUUAAAGUAGACUGCUAGGACAAUUAAAUACAUAGAUAUAAUGAAGUUUACUUCUUGCUUAUGUGAUUUUCUUAGCGAGGAUGGGUCUCUUCAAAUGGUUCUUCAAGGAUUUCUCACUCUUGAGGUUCUACUCAACAGUGUGGCUCCUCCAAGUCGUGAGGCUUCGUUAUCAUUUGCUUCCAGCCAGUAGAAGGGGAAGGUGAGUGGAGGCUGAGCACAGCAGGUUUCAAUGAGCCAACCCUGAAAGAGCACCAUUACUUCUGUUCUCACAACUAACAACAGGGUAGUCUGGGACAGACCAUCUAACUCUGUUUUGGCAAACACCCAACAUGCAGUCUCUUCCACAUUCACUUUAUGAGAGGAAUACUUAUAUUAUCAAAAUAAUUUGUUUUGAAAUAAAAAAAUGUGACAUUUGUACAGUUCUGUACAUUUAAACAGAACCUAGUUUAAUUUUGAAAAAGAGAUAGGAAUAUUUUAUUUUGAUUCUGCAUGCAGCACAUGUGUUUUGGGGGCCCUCAGAGUGUGGUGGCACCUUUUAGAAAAUGACACCUAAUUCAUGGCUUUUGUUUGGUCUGAUGUCGAAGAAUCUUUUGCUUCCUACAAUUAGGAUUCAUUUAAAGAUGAGAGAAAGUGUGGAUCAAAAAAAGAAAAAACUGAAGGGGUUGAGAAAAGAGAUUUGGGGGAGGAGAUUUAGAAGAAUAUUGCAAAUGGAAUUGCUUAAAAGCAGCAUUGUGUAUAGUGUUAGGGACUCCCUAUUCCAUUUAUUUGUUUGCUGUUUGUUGUCAUUGUUGUUUUAAGAGACAAGCUCUCAGUCUGUCACCCAGUCUGGAAUGAGAUGGCUUCUUCUUAUUUCACUGCAUCCUCAAACUCCUGGGCUCAAGUGAUCCUCCUGCCUCAGUCUCCCAGCAGGUACAACCACCAAACCCAGCUAAUUUUUUGUAAAGACUCAAUGUCACUAUGUUGUCCAGGCUGAUUUCAAACUCCUGGUCUCAAUGAUCCUCCUGCCUCAGCUUCCCAAAGUGCUGGGAUUACAGGCAUGAGCCACUGUACCCAGCCUUAUUUGGUGGCUUCUCUUCUUGUGUUAAUGUUGUCACUUUCUCCCUUGACUUCAUGACUUUGGGCAAUAAUCCCUCCAUAAUGCUAUUUCGAUACUUAAAAUAAUAAAAACAAUAGUAUGGACCUUAUAGGGUUAUAAUCAAGAGUAAAUGGUUUACUGUGAGUUAGAUGCAUAGCAUGAUACCUGUCACCCAGGAAAAGCUCCAUAAAGAGGUAAAUGUCUGCUAUUAUUGCUCAGAGAGAAUAAAAGGAGCAUGCCUCAAAAUGUCUUCAAAAUCACGACAAAGAAUCCAUAUCCUUUCUCACGUUCAUACAGAACCUCCCCUAACUGAAAAGUUCAUCCCUAAGGAUGCUGUUACUUACGUAACACUUGUAUGGUGAUACAAAAUGAGAAGUGUCCUUUGGGAGCCUCCAUGAGAGUCCAGUGUUACCGACACAUGCAAGAUGCACAACAAAGACAAAUCAAAAUGAAGUCUCCACGCUAAGAAUUUACAUUAAGUACAACAAAAGAGAUAAAUGCAUUUCUUUUGGUUUACUUCUUGAGAUCUCUGGUAUGAUGAGUUGGCUCAAUACAUUUGCUUUUUUUUUAAAGUACCCUAUAAGACAUUAUCCAGAGACUUUUCAAUCCAAUCUAUUUGUGAUUGCAUCUUUGUGUUCAAAGAAACUAUUUUUGGAAUUGUUGGCUUAGAGUUCCAGCUCUUAGUGUUGUCAAAAUUAACUACUUAGAGACACUGGGCAGGAUGUUACUGAGUCAGCUAAUGGAACUCAUGUGUUGAAGAAAAAUUUCUUUACAAAAAGAAUGGAAGGUUAGGGGUAGGGGAAGCACCCGUGGAAUAAUACUGUGAUGUAGAAUAUGCCUUACUACAUUGGGAUCUGAAAAGGUUUCAUAUCAUCUUCCUUCUUGAAAGGAAAUUAAAUUGCCGUAAGAGGCUAUGCUAUGCUAAAACAGUAGCCAUCUUUUGUUUAUUUUUAAUUAAAUUCCAUCCAGAUAAGGGAUCCUCAUCUUCUUUCCUAUGGGCUUUUUGGAUUGCCACUGAUCCAUGUACCAGAUAAACAAAACAUCUUCCAAAUUCAAUCCAUUUGGGAUAGCUACUUAAAAGCAGUGUUUUAAGAAUUAGAUAACUCCUAAUAUCUUUUGGUAGGGAAAGAGAAAUUCCUAUUUAUUUCAGUGGCUGAAAUUACCUCUGAGGCCUGACUGAAAAGAUAUCCCCUCCCCCCCAAAAAAGAGUAUUUAAUCUAAUUCUCAGUACUUACACUAGGAAAUGUAAGCAGCUGUCUGCUGUCAUUUGAAGGGCUCUGUGACAGCUCCCUACUCUUUAAAAUAAGCAAACAAAGAAACAAAAAUAAAAACCACUUACAUCCAUUAGCCCUUGAAGGUGCUCACAAUUCUCACAUGCAUGCAUUCAUACAUUCACUGAUUACUGAGCACACAUUCACUGAUACAUCACGCCAUGUGCUAGGCACUAGAAGUACAAGCCCUGUUCUCACAAGCUCACAGUCUAACCAUACCAGGCAACCUUUGGUAGAAGAAUACUUUCCAGACUGUGUUCUGCAAAACAAGUUUACAGCAUAAUAUAAAUUGUGAUCUAUAAAAAUGGUAAAGACUUCUGUGAGCAAAAACACUUGAGAAAUAGGUUAAAAACCAUAUAUGCAAUUUUCAUUUCUUGAGUACUUCUCAGCACCUUUAAUAUGCCCCCAGACACCAUCGAGUACGUGUCGAACGCAGAGGGAAGGAUGGAUGGAUGAGAGGGAAGGAUGAAUGCAGCAGGGUUUGGAUAAGACCCUAACUAGAAUGGUCAGACUUUAUCGGCCCUUUCCAUUUUUCCCAUUAUCACUGAAUUUCAGUUUGAUUAUGGCUCCUAAGAUUUGCAAGAAAUGCCAACAUUAAGUUUUAGUUCUGUCUCUUUAUAGGGACCUAGUCCUAUAUUAUUGCAUGUAACUAAGCUAUGCCAGUUCCCAUCGCUGGCACUGCGUGGUGACAACAGGGAUAGUGAAAAGGGCAUGAGUUUGAGAGUUAAGACAGCCUUAGCACACUGACUGGCACUCAAUGGAGCCUCAAUAAAUAUUUGUUAAAUAAAUGAGCAAAUAUCUGGACUUAAAUUCCAGCUCUGCCAUUUCCUAGCUGUUAUUUGAACAUUCGGAGCCCUCGUUUAGUCAACUGUAACAUGGGACAAUGGUAUUCAUUUUAAAAGAAAGCGAUCAGUAAGUCAGCUCUUUUCACGUCUAGUGGAAGUAAAUCUUGCUUUUCUCUUUUGGAACUAUCUUACCUAAGUUUGUAUGACUCCUCCUAUUAUUUCUUUCAUGGUUGUAAUACAUACACUGACUAGGUCACUUUUUCCAAGUCUGGGCUUCACUAUUUGUUCUUGACAGCAUUAAAACUUUCAGAGAAAUCUGAAGGACCAAUUCAAAGGUCACUGCAGUUCUUUAUUUCUGGAUUCCAUCUUUAUUCUACGAUUAUUUAAUGAAUGCUGAGUAUUCUGAAGGUUCUGUGCUAGGCACUGAGGAUAUGGCAGGCAAGGGUCCCACCCUCAUGAAUAUUAGCAGGAGAAACCAGUGGGACCCAGAAUUAAAGAACAUUCCUCUCUAGGCUGAAAAAUCCUUGAGUAUCCAGCUUAUGAAUAGAAAAAAUAACCACAGCAAAGCAUAUCAUUUGCAGGACUUCAGUACACCAAGAAUAAUGGGAAGGUGUCAAAAGUAAAAGAAUAACACAGGACACACACAGAGAAGCAGAAUGCCAACAGCCUUCUCACCAGCAACAUCAGUGCAGGAUGCCUAGGGAGAAAUGCCUUCAAAAGUCUUUUAUGUGUCAUCACUGUUGAUUAAGAAAUUAUUGGAAGACCUGUACCAGCAAAAUGAGAAAAACAAUAAUAGAAGAAGACGUAAAACCCAGGAAACAUUAGUUUUAACCCCCAAAAAUCAGUGAAACUAAGUCCUGGGGUGACAACUACAGAGCAGUUUCACAGAGGAAACUGUCCAGAUUGAAGCAAGAGGAAGAAAUCCCUGGAAGAGAGGUUUUCAUGAAAAGUGUGAGGACCUAAAGGAAUAGAUAAUGCAGUGAUACAUUCUGAAAAGUGUAUAAAAUUAUGCAGGAGAAAAUACUGUCCAUAGUCAUAAGGAGAAUCACCACUUAGUUCUGCAGUGAACGAAGAUUAACAUUGUAUGAUAAACCAAGCAUUUGCACUAGUUUCUUAAGGUACCAAAGAAAGACACUAUUGAGAAAAUAUACCUGAGAAAUAUGAAUUCUUGCACUUCAAUGCAAAUUGAGGGAUGGGUUAUUUAGAACUUUCUAGCAAGGGUCAUUGCCAUGGCAUAAACUGUGUGGCUUCAAACAAUAGCAAUCUGUUUUCUCCCGGUUCUACGGUCUUAAAAUUUAAAACCAAGAUGUCGGCAGGGCCAUGUUCCCUCUGGAACUUGAAGUAGAUUCUUUCCUUGCCUCCUCCUAGAUUUGGGUGGUGGCCAGUAAUCUCGAGCGACCCAGCUGAAUCACUGUACUCUCUUCCUCUGUCACCACAGGGUUCCUCCCUGUGUCUGUCUUCACACAGUGUCUAUCUCUCCUUUUAAGGACAGCAGUCAUUUUUAAUCCAUUUUGACAGGUAAAUUUUGCUCUGAUUAAUUCUGCUAUUUUUUAAAAUAAAAUUUUGAGAUAGUUUUGGAUUUAUAGAUAAUCUGUGACGAUAAUAGAGUUCCCCGGUACUCCAGUCAGUUUCUCCUAUUAUUAACGUGUUAUUAACAUACAUUUGUCACCACUAAUGAACCAAUAUUAAUAAUUAACUAAAAUUUAUUUUUUAUUCAGAUUUGCUUAGUGUUUCCCUAAGUUCUUUUUCUGUUCGCGGAUACCACAUAUAUUUAGUUAUUGUCUCCUUAAGCUCCUCUUGGUCGUGACAGUUUCUCAGACCUUCCUUGUUUUUGAGGACCAUGACAGUUUUGAGGAGCACUGGUCAGGGAUUUUUGUUGAAUGUCCCUCAGCUGGGAUGUGCCCCAUGUUUUCCUCAUGAGUAUGGUACAGGACAGGCUGGUCUUAGCCCAGGAGAGUUCUUGGCUUUGCCCAGUAACGAAUCCAGGAGUGAGCUGGUGCUGUUAGACAUCAACCUUCUGUUGAAGGGCACUGCUCCUUGUAGAGUAGGGCCAACUCAAAGUCAGUUCAGUUGUCUUCUAUUGUUUUUGUUUUGUGAGGCAGCCUUAUUAGCACAACCCCGUGUCUAGUAAUACCGUUAUUAUUGGACUGAACUAAUAUACUCUAAAUUUUACAACUUUGAUAGGAAAAAGUAGAAACAUGAAAAACAAUCUAUGUUAAAGCUGCAAAUAGUUUUUUUUUUCAUAGCAAUGGACUUAUUUGUCAUGCACAGGUAGCAAAGAUCAUCAUUUAAAGUUGAGCUUUUUGAGGGCAAUUGUUCUAAGGAAUUACACUGUAUAACAUUCUAUAAAAGAUUGUUCAUGGUAUGGGCAGAUAUUAUGGAUGAGACUGCAACCAGAGCCACUGAUACACUAUAAGUAGUAUAUUGAUUUUUCUCUAAAUAAAUAUGAAUCUAACCCUGAAUCCGUUCAAUCUCAUUUAUUACUGGGUCUGACAAAAGUCUUAAGAGUUUUAAAUACUCCUUUCUGGACACCAGGAAUGGGUGUCCUUUGUUUCAUAAUGCAAGGGCUCUUCAUGACCAGUGGCUUUGCUACCUCGAUCCCAUAAUUGAAACACAGGAAUCGCUGCCAAGGAAUCAUAUGGCAAAGUGUGGCCUUCCAAGGCAUGUCAGGCAGUCAUCCCUCUGGGCCUUGCCCUGCACCUUUUCAAAUUGGCUUCUUUUACUCAGUAAUAUGCAUUUAUGUUUCCCCCAUUUUUUUUUCUUGGCUUGAUAGCUCAUUUCCCUUUAGCACUGAAUAAUAUUCCAUUGUCUGGAUGUAUUUCAGUUUAUAUAUCCAUUCACCUACUGAAGGACAUCUUGGUCGCUUCCAAGUUCUAGCAAUUACAACUGAAGUUGCUAUAAACAUCCAUGUGCAGGUUUCUGUGUGGACAUAAGUUCUCAGCUCCUUAGGGUAAAUAUCAAGAAGAGUGAUUGUGAUUGCUGGAUUGCGUAAGAGCAUGUUUAGUUUUGUUAAGAAAACUAAACUGAACUACCAUGAGGAGAGCUUAAUGGCCUCAGGUGCUGACACUGAGUAGAAGCCAGGACCUUUUCUCCUUUACUGUAUCAAGAAUUCUGUUUUUCAACUGGCUUUUGGAUACUCUUCCUUAGCUUCCCCCUGCCCAGGAUACUUAAUGGGUUUAAUUAAGUAACUGCAGCUGAUGAAACAAAUAGGACCCUGACUUCAUCGGCUUCUGCAUUCUCCCCUGCAGGAAUAUUUGGGGCAUGGAAAUCUAAAAUGCCUGGUUAAGUAUUUAGAAUCAGAAAAAAAAAAAAUGGGAUCAAACCACAACUUAAAACCUCAAAAAAAGUUAUCCUGACAUUUUCUUUGCUUGUAAAUUUGUUUCAGUCAAGAGAAUGUACUACCUAUUUUUUUUUUUUUUUUUUUUUUGAGAAGGAGUUUUGCUCUUGUUGCCCAAGCUGGUGUGCAAUGGUGCAGUCUUGGCUCACUGCAACCUCCACCUACCAGGUUCAAGCGAUUCUCCUGCCUCAGCCUCCCAAGUAGCUGUGAUUACAAGCAUGUGACACCACUAAUUUUUGUAUUUUUAGUAGAGAUAGGGUUUCACCAUGUUGACCAGGCUGAUCUUGAACUUGUGACCUCAGGUGAUCCACCCGCUUUGGCUUCCCAAAGUGCUGAGAUUACCAGCAUGAGUCACCACGCCCGGCCUGUACUUCCCAUUUUAAUGUUCCCCACUGAGAGGCUGGAUCCUAGGUCUCUGUCCAGAGUGGGACAACUCCCAUUCACAAAUAAAAGAUAAAGGGUAGCACUUCCCACACAUAAAACUACCCUAUCUGUGUGGAUAUAUCCUGUAGGCUCUCUAGGAUAUAUAAUACUCUAAAUUUUACGUAAUUUAUGUAAUACAUACACUGACCCAAUGAGAACUUGAACCUCCCCAGUCCUUCCAGCACCGAUUCUAGCCCACCCUAGUGGUUCUGCCUCAGUCUGUGUUUAAAGACUAAAGAUUCUUAAACACAGACUAUUUUUUAGAGCAGUGUUGGGUUAACAAAACUGAGCAGAAAAUACAGAGAGUUCCCUUACACUUCCUGCCCCUACACAUGCCCAGCCUCCCCAGCUAUCCACCUCCUCCACCAGAGUGGUACAUUUGUUAUGACUGAUGAGCCUGCAUCAAUAUCACCCAAAACCCAUAGUUUAUAUUACCGUUCACUCUUUGUGUUGUACUUUCUAUGGGUUUGGACAAAUGCUUAGUGGCAUGCAUCUGCCAUUAUAGUAACAUAUAAAGUAGUUUCACUGCUCUAAAAAUCCUCUGUGCCCUUGCCUAUUCAUUCCUUUCUCCACCUCCUCUCACCUCUGGCAACCCAUGAUCCUUUAAUUAUUUCUAGAAAAGUUUGCCUUUUCUAGAAUGUCAUAUCGUUGGAAUCAUACAGCAUGAAGCCUUUUCAAAUUGGCUUCUUUUACUCAAUAAUAUGCAUUUAUGUUUCCCCCAUUUUUUUUUUUCUUGGCUUGAUAGCUCAUUUCCCUUUAGCACUGAAUAAUAUUCCAUUGUCUGGAUGUAUUUCAGUUUAUAUAUCCAUUCACCUACUGAAGGACACCUUGGUCGCUUCCAAGUUCUGGCAAUGACAACUGAAGUUGCUAUAAACAUCCAUGUGCAGGUUUCUGUGUGGACAUAAGUUCUCAGCUCCUUAGGGUAAAUAUCAAGAAGAGUGAUUGUGAUUGCUGGAUUGGGUAAGAGCAUGUUUAGUUUUGUUAAGAAACUGCCAAACCGUCUUCCAACUUUUAGGGAUUUUAAAACUAGCAGAAAGUCCAGUUGGUCCUCGACCAAUUCUAUAGCCAUGUCUCUGCAUCUUCAGAGUCCCUGCGCCAGUGAUCGGGAGGGAGUUCUCAGGACUAUGGUGGGGAGAGGACCACAGAUUUUGGCAGGAAGAUGUGGAGCAAAGCCCCUGAGGAAAGAAACUGACGCGUGAACUCCAAGAACAGCCACGCCAAGUAACAGAUGAAAGUCACUCACAGUGUUAAAUAUUCAUUUGUUACCCCAACAAGAAAAGUCUUGUUGAAAUUCAGAAAAUGCAGAAUUACAGUAUUCAAGAUUUAAUUUCACCAAAUAAAACGUUUGUGGGGAUACUGCUGUAUGA